CGUCAUGAAAGUCGGUAACACCCGAAGCCAGUGGCCUAACCCUUUGGGAGGGAGCUGUCGAAGGUGGGAUCGGCGAUUGGGACGAAGUCGUAACAAGGUAGCCGUACCGGAAGGUGCGGCUGGAUCACCUCCUUUCU
rnacentral:rRNA from 2 species